GACGAACCGUGCGAACGUUAUUCGGAAUCACUGGGCUUGAAGGGCGCGUAGGCGGGUUCCCAAGUCAGGGGUGAAAUCCCACGGCCCAACCGUGGAAGUGCCUUUGAUACUGGGGAUCUCGAGGGAGGUAGGGGCGUGCGGAACUCAGGGUGGAGCGGUGAAAUGCGUAGAUAUCCUGAGGAACACCGGUGGCGAAAGCGGCGCGCUGGACCUCUUCUGACGCUGAGGCGCGAAAGCCAGGGGAGCAAACGGG
rnacentral:rRNA from 1 species